GAUGAAGAACGCAGCGAAAUGCGAUACGUAAUGUGAAUUGCAGAAUUCAGUGAAUCAUCGAAUCUUUGAACGCAUAUUGCGCUCUCUGGUAUUCCGGAGAGCAUGCUUGUUUGAGUAUCAGUAAACACCUCAACUCCCUUUUCUUUUUUGAAAUUGGAGCUGGACUUGAGUGAUCCCAACGCUUUCUUCCAAGAAAGUGGCGGGUUGCUUGAAAUGCAGGUGCAGCUGAACUUUUCUCUGAGCUAUAAGCAUAUCUAUUUAGUCUGCCUAAAAAACAGAUUAUUACCUUUGCUGCAGCUAACAUAAAGGAGACUAGUUCUUGUGCUGACUGAUGCAGGAUUCACAGAGACCGCUUCGGCUGACUUUGUAAACUCGAUCUCAAAUCAAGUAAGACUACCCGCUGAACUUAAGCAUAUCAAUAAGCGGAGGA
rnacentral:misc_RNA from 1 species